AUGGACCAAGUUGGCAGCAGCUCAAACACAGUUUCAGACGAGGAGAAUGAGAAUGAGACAAACAUUCAGACGAGGAGAAUGAGACAAACACUCUAUAAUGAAGCGACAAAUCGACCAAUUUGGUCACAUAUCACCUUGCCUUUCCAGCCUCUUUCACUUCCUUUCAACCAUGUAAGCCUACCUAUCUUUCUACUCACACAUAUCGUGUUAGGACUUAAAUUCAUCACCAGUAUGAUACCAUUAUCUACAAAUGUGGGCGGAAAAUACUUUAGGCCUAACAUAAAACCUCUCAGCUUGUGUUCCAGGAAAUGA
rnacentral:rRNA from 1 species